rnacentral:sRNA from 1 species
AAGUAAACCCAACCACAAAAAAAUGGUAUUGUUAAUUCUAAAAUGCAAGUAUAAGCAGAGAUUGUUCAACAGGUAGAGAGAGGGGCACAGUAAAUAUUUGCAUUUUUACACUGUCUUGCUUCAAGGAAUGAAAGCCAAGUAAAGAGUGUUGGAAACAACAGCAAGCUUGCAUAGGCGACAAAAUUCUUCAAACCUGAAUUCCAAGUCCUGUCAGCAUCCCCUCAGCAGAUGAGCUUUGAAGAAGACUGGGAUCCGAACACUGGCAGCGCCACAUGAAUGGGGUUCAGGACAUUGACAUUGCUUGUUUUUUUUAGCAUUCUGUGAAUUUCCUAUUACAUCAGUUUCAUGAUUCAGCAUUUUCCUUUUCAUUUAUUUACAGUAAUAUAUAGCGAGAUAACCUAAGCUCGAUCGCAGGAUCCUGGAACAUAAGGUAGGCUGGGCAGCAAGGGUGUAGCCUUCUGUAAAUUUACUAUUUGCUUAGAACUCAGGGACAAAUGGGAGAAAGCAAGUCAUCCAAAGAACUGGGAAAUAUCUCCUCACCUUACUCUGAGGGUCUUCAUUUCUGUGGUAUUUAAAAUAGGUUACUGCCAUCUAGUUUGUAAGUCUAACAGAAGGCAAGAAGUGUGUAAACUGCGAACUGAUGUGCAUAAGCCAAACGCAGCUCUGAAAUGACAACGUUCAAGACGCAACUAAAGUCACCACUCUGGCGUGAUUCAGAAGUGGGCGAACUCCACCGUCUCCUGUAAACAUGUAACAAGGUGAAGCCUGGAGAUAAACUUAGAACUCCUACAAAGAUUAUUCUCCUUUCUGGAAAAAACUAUAAAUUUUCAACAAGGACAUAAAUGUGAGUGUCUUGUGGAAAAGAAUAAAGCAAACUCCUGAAAAUGUGGAGCAGGUAAAUCUGCAGGAGAGAAAAUCCUCCAGGUAAGGACACGGGCCAAUUGAACCAACGCCAUGAAAACUGCUAGCCUCGACGGCUCUGUUGUAAAAUGGAACGGCCUUCUCCGAGAGCUCCCACAAUUGUGAUAGGAAAGACUUCCAUGGCUCCCACAUGAAAGUGCUUUCUGCUUUUGGAGGUUCUAGAAACCUUAGGAGGUAGAGUCUAGCUGAAGGAUGAAGAUCACUGGGGGUGGGGGUGGGGUAUGUUAUCCUUGGCCCUUUCUCUCCUUUCUCUGCUCCCUGGCUACCAAGAGUCUAACCCUUAUGCUCUGCCACACAUUACCACUGCCAUGUUCUUCCAAAGUGACGGGGUCCAAGGGCAACAGAUUGAACUAUCUGAAGCAGUGAGCCUCAGGCAAUCUUUUCCCUCUUUAAGACAUUCUGUCAGGAAUUUUUGUCACAGUUACACAAACUCAGCUAAAAUGUCCAAAAUGUAUCCACCACUCUACAAUCCACUUGUAUACGGUGUCUUAUAAGUAUAAAAUCCUUAUUCAUGUUCAUAUCCACCAAGGAAGAGUCUCGAGAAUGUUCAUGGCGAUAGCAUAUGACUAAUCCACUGUAUCUACCCAAACGUCCAUCAACGAGGAUGUUGUAUGAAUGAACUCAUACGAUGGAAUGCUGUAGAGGAUUGGAAAUCAGUGUCCUGCAACUACAUACAGCAUCGCAGUCUCAUGGAUGUGGCUUCCCCAAGCCCAUCUAGAUCACAUGAAGUUUUCAACCCCGUUAACAGAAGAAAUUACAACGAUCCAAAGUUUUCACUGGAAGUUAAGUAAGUCUGGAUUCUUGGUACAUAGCAUGUUGAUCUCAUGCAUAGCAUCAGACAGUUUAUAGAACUGUAUUCUGUGCUUGAAAUCUGCAAAUCUGGAGUGUAUACCCAUAUACACAUGCAGUAGUAACUGGGCGGUAGGAUGGAUAUGUAAAUUAAUUUGAUUGUCCCAAUCAUUUCACAAUGUAUAUGUAAAUCAAAUUAUUGUGCUGUGCAUCUUGAAUAUACAUGUUUUAUUUGUCAAUUGUACUUCGCUGAAUCUGGAAAAAGUGAUAAUAAUUGUGGACAAUUUUGCAAUCAAUGUCUACUAGUGUGAAUGACAUUAGGAUUUAUUUUUUUUAAGAUGGGGAUAGCAUUGUGCUCAGGUAGGAUUUACAGGUAGCAUUCUCUGAGACCCUCAUGGAUUGCAACUGUUCACCUGUAAAGAAUCUAGAACUAGGUGGUGGGCUAGCUAUGGGCUGUAAGCUGUGAACUGUCCCCUCCUGGGAAACAGGAAAGUCAGAUGCGCCUGGUGCCUACAGCCAAACCCUGCAAUCCUACAUCACCUUGGGUUCUGCCACUUUAUCUCCAUGAGUUUUUGUUCAUACUCUUUCCUGGGAUCCCCACCUUCUCAGGAAGGCUUUCGUGAUCCUACCUGUCCUUCAUGCUGUUUCAUGUGGCCUCAAGUUCUCAUGUUGAAAACCGACUCUCAGUGCUGCAGGGCCGAGAGAGACCUUGAAGAGACAAUCGUGCUGCUCCUUCUGAGGCCCUGAGUUUGAUUCCCAACAUCUGGCAGCUCACAACCACCUGUGAGGGCAACAUCAGGGGAUGUGAUACCUUCUCCUGGCCUCCAGAGGUACCCGUCCUCAGGCAGCUCUCUUAUUAAGACCUUGGAAUCUAUUAAAAGUCUCAUUUUGAAACAAUAAAGCAAGAGGAAGAAUUUAUGAAUUGUAGAUCUUCAGCAUUAACCCAACAACAGCCUUGGAGAGGAAAAGGAUUCUUCAGAGAGAAAAAUUAAUUCCUGCCAAGAAAAAUCUAGGAACAUAAGUUAGCGAGCCCUACCAGAUGCCUCUGACUACGCUGAGCAGGAACGAGGUACAUUCUAAUUUCUCAGGAAAAAGAAUUAUAGGCUAGCCUGUGCAUCGGGCAGCGUCCAGAAGGUUCCUCGGCCAGGUUCUCAAUCACAUGUGUAGCCCACAGUGAUGUCCUCCACAUCCAAGACCCCCUCUGAUCUUUGGAUCUGAUCGGUUCUGCGUUUGUCACCACGACUGAUGCAUCCAGACAUAACUCACCUCCUCCGAUCACUGGCGUAAUCUGCAUAGUGGAAGGCCAUGUUGUUUGCAAGAUUGGCUGUAAUGAAGCCUCAUGUCAGUGCCUGCCUGUCUCUGCAAUGUGAUGGUGUUGUCUACCACUAAGUGGUGUGAUCUAUUGAUUCCUCCCUGCAAGAGUUGAGAAAAACACUUAUCAAAAGAAUGCUAUGGAUGUGAUAUUUUGGCAACAGCUAAGCUUAGGCUUUAAGAAACCUUGCAGCUUCCAGUCUCACUGUCUUAGAACACAGACCACAUCAGAUAAGAAAGCCCAGGCUAGCCAUCUUGAAGACCAGACCUCUCAUUGACAGAGAACAGCUAACAGCCAGCAACAACUGCUAGUUGUAUUUUUGAGGACCACAAAACCAACAGAAUGUAUGCAGCCACUCCUUGAUAUCCGUUUACACUGGACUCUCUAGUUCCUGUCACACUGCCAGAUGAGAGUCGCUGCCCAAGUGACCCCAGAAGCGACCAAGCAGAAGAGCCACCCCACUGAGCCCAGCGCAAGACACUGACCUAAGAAUCAUGAACAAAUAAAACCGCUACGAUUUUGAAGAACUCAAGUUGGAGCCGUUUGUUACACAGCAGUGGGUGGAUGAAGAACAAUGAUAGAUACUUUAUAUCUGACACAAUGGCUUUAGAAAACUGACUGUUCUAACCCCUCUAACAACAGCCUCUGGGAUGGUGUUAACUUGUGAGGCUAAGAUGUUUCUUCUUGUUUCCUCCCCACAGCACCUUGUCACCUCUCACAGCAAUUCACACUGAGACUGGACUGUUUAACUUUGCUUUGCCAAAAGGAAUAAUAAAGGUCCUGAAAUGAUUGCUCAGCAACUGGCUGGCCCCAGGACGACGAUGGGUGUGGAGAUGGAAGGCAUCCCCAGUGGACCUCCUCUGCCCAGAUGAGUUGUGCCUAUGCUACCCAGCUGCAGCGCCAUUGCCAAGGGCCUGGAGCCUUCUGGGAGGCCACUGGGACAGGGACCGUUGGACACGAAUAGGGAUCUCCAGAGAAAUGAAACCAAAGAUGCUGGUACCCAAGAGGACUGGUUCAAAACCCACUGAGGAUGUCCAACUAUGCAUCAGAUGAUGUAGCUUUGCAUAGAACCCACACACAUCCUGCUAUAUUCCUGAGUCACCUCUAGCUUGCCCACAAUAUCUAGUACAGGGUAAAGGCUAUGCAGAAAGUUGUUAUGGUGUAAUAUUGAGGGGCUAAUGACAAGAAGAAAAAAAUCUACGUGAUCCUUGAGCACCAUUGUCUCCUGAACAUUUUUCAUGUGUGGUUGGUUGAAUCUGGGUAUGAAGCCUGUGGCACAGACCCGCUCCAAGGCAGACUGGAAGGAUGGGGAUACAGGCAAGUGUUUCAUUUUGAGUUCAAAGAUUGUCUGUGUGGGAGGUCUUCCUUUUUCCAUUACAUCCUUCACCUAGUUGGAUGAGGCUCACCCAUGUUAUUGAGGAUAUUUCAUUUUCCCCAAUGGCUAUGGACUUGCACAUUAAUGUUAUCUAAGAAAUGGCUCAGAGGGGUUAUGAGUGUAACUCAGGUGAUAGAGUCCUUACUUAGCAUGUGCAGAGCUCUGGGUUCAAUGCCCUGGACUGCAUGUAACCCCCUUGUGGUAUAUACCUAUAAUCCUGGCACCGAGGAGGUGGAGAAAGAAAGAUCAGACAUUUAAGGACAUUCUCAGAAACAUAGCAAGUUCAAGAUAGCCCUGUGCUGCAUUAGAUUGUCUCAGAAAUCUAAACAAGCAAGAGAGAGAGGGGGGAGGAGAGAGAGAGAAGGAGGAGAAGGAAGAGGAGGAAGAAGAGGAG